CUGAAAUGGGUUCGAAUACCAGUUAAGGAUGACAGCUACGAUUACUUUCAGUUCAUUCAAGAAGCUGAGAAAGAGGUCUCUGAGGCCUCCUUCUGCUCAGAUGAGGGGUCAUUCUCACCCAUUGAGUCUGUGAGGUCAUUCUCAUCAGUUGAGUCUGUGAGUUCAGGCUCCACUGUAAUUACAGAAUGCACCAAAGCACGGAAAAGGCAACUGGUAGAAGGACCACCUGACAGUAAGGCAGCAAAAGAUAUGGUCUAUGUAGCUCUACAUCAAAAAACCGGGGGUGAAGACAUAUUCAAAGAGUACAAUGUGACAAAAGGCCUUUCUGAUCAA